GGUUGGUACAAGCUGAGUAGGGAGCCAGGUGGGUUGGUAGAAGCUGAGUAGGGAGCCAGGUGGGUUGGUACAAGCUGAGUAGGGAGCCAGGUGGGUUGGUAGAAGCUGAGUAGGGAGCCAGGUGGGUUGGUACAAGCUGAGUAGGGAGCCAGGUGGGUUGGUAGAAGCUGAGUAGGGAGCCAGGUGGGUUGGUACAAGCUGAGUAGGGAGCCAGGUGGGUUGGUACAAGCUGAGUAGGGAGCCAGGUGGGUUGGUACAAGCUGAGUAGGGAGCCAGGUGGGUUGGUAGAAGCUGAGUAGGGAGCCAGGUGGGUUGGUAGAAGCUGAGUAGGGAGCCAGGUGGGUUGGUAGAAGCUGAGUAGGGAGCCAGGUGGGUUGGUACAAGCUGAGUAGGGAGCCAGGUGGGUUGGUAGAAGCUGAGUAGGGAGCCAGGUGGGUUGGUACAAGCUGAGUAGGGAGCCAGGUGGGUUGGUACAAGCUGAGUAGGGAGCCAGGUGAGUGAGUACAAGCUGAGUAGGGAGCCAGGUGGGUUAGUAUAAGCUGAGCCUGGUGAAAGGGACUCAUGGUUGUAGUUGGGCCUCUGAUAUAACCGGUGGA